ACAUACAACCAUAGCACCCUGAGAACGCCCCAGCUCAUCUGAUCUGGGAAGCUAAGCAGGGUCGGGCCCGGUCAGUGCUUGGAUGGGAGACCAGUGGUACAUGGGGGGGUUAGAAGGG
rnacentral:rRNA from 1 species